UGGCGGACGGGUGAGUAAUGCUUGGGAAUCUGGCUUAUGGAGGGGGAUAACUGUGGGAAACUGCAGCUAAUACCGCGUAUUCUCUGAGGAGGAAAGGGUGGGACCUUAGGGCCACCUGCCAUAAGAUGAGCCCAAGUGGGAUUAGGUAGUUGGUGGGGUAAAGGCCUACCAAGCCUGCGAUCUCUAGCUGGUCUGAGAGGAUGACCAGCCACACUGGAACUGAGACACGGUCCAGACUCCUACGGGAGGCAGCAGUGGGGAAUAUUGCGCAAUGGGGGGAACCCUGACGCAGCCAUGCCGCGUGAAUGAAGAAGGCCUUCGGGUUGUAAAGUUCUUUCGGUAAUGAGGAAGGGAUGUUGUUAAAUAGAUAGCAUCAUUGACGUUAAUUACAGAAGAAGCACCGGCUAACUCCGUGCCAGCAGCCGCGGUAAUACGGAGGGUGCGAGCGUUAAUCGGAAUAACUGGGCGUAAAGGGCACGCAGGCGGACUUUUAAGUGAGAUGUGAAA
rnacentral:rRNA from 1 species